rnacentral:rRNA from 1 species
UACGUAGGGGGCAAGCAUUAUCCGGAAUUAUUGGGCGUAAAGAGCUCGUAGGCGGUUUGUCGCGUCUGCCGUGAAAGUCCGGGGCUCAACUCCGGAUCUGCGGUGGGUACGGGCAGACUAGAGUGAUGUAGGGGAGACUGGAAUUCCUGGUGUAGCGGUGAAAUGCGCAGAUAUCAGGAGGAACACCGAUGGCGAAGGCAGGUCUCUGGGCAUUAACUGACGCUGAGGAGCGAAAGCAUGGGGAGCGAACAGG